rnacentral:rRNA from 1 species
CCCUUAGACGUUCUGGGCCGCACGCGCGCUACACUGACGAAGGCAACGAGCUUUCCUUUACCGAAAGGUACGGGUAAUCUUUUGAAACUUCGUCGUGCUGGGGAUAGAUCCUUGCAAUUUUUGAUCUUAAACGAGGAAUGCCUAGUAUGCGCAAGUCAUCAACUUGCGUUGAUUACGUCCCUGCCCUUUGUACACACCGCCCGUCGCUACUACCGAUUGAAUGGUUUAGUGAGGCCUUCGGAUCCGCGACUCGUUUGUGGAGAAGUUGGACAAACUCAGUCAUUUAGAGGAAGUAAAAGUCGUAACA